GUCUUUUUGAUUUUUAUUAAAAGUUUAACCUGCCCAUUGAAAAUUUUUAAAAGGCUGCAGUAUUUUGACUGUACAAAGGUAGCAUAAUCAUUAGUUUUUUAAUUGAAAACUUGUAUGAAUGGUUGAAUGAGAAAUUAACUUUUUUAAAAAUAUAAUUGAAUUUUACUUUUUAAUUAAAAGGUUAAAAUAAAUUUAAAAGACGAGAAGACCCUAUAGAGUUUUAUAAUUUUUAUUUAAUAUUUUAAAAAGAUAAAUUUAAAUUUUAUAGAAAAAAUUAUUUUGUUGGGGUGAUUAUAAAAUUUAAUAAACUUUUAUUUUUUUUUACAUUAAUAUAUGAUUUUAUGAACCAUUAUUUAAUGAUUAAAAAUUUAAAUUACCUUAGGGAUAACAGCGUAAUUUUUUUUACAAGUUCAUAUUAAUAAAAAAUUUUGCGACCUCGAUGUUGGAUUAAGAUUUAAUUUUAGGUGCAGCAGUUUAAAUUUUAAGUCUGUUCGACUUUUAAAUUCUU
rnacentral:rRNA from 1 species